AUGACCGACAGAUGGGCAGCAAAAAAGGUUCUGGUGCUGCACAUCAACAAGAACUUUGACCAGCAGAGGACCAACUGGGUGAUGCACCAGUACCACCUCGGGGACCUAGAGCAAGAGAAGGAGCGGGAGCUGGUCCUCCGCAAGAUUUUCUACCAGACGAACACUAGGGCCAGGAGUAAAAAGAUUAUAAGUCGAGCCCAGCCCAUGACGACAACGGGACACAAAGAUCCAGCAGGUAUCUACUGGCCUCUGGCCCGCCAUCGUUAG
rnacentral:rRNA from 1 species